rnacentral:lncRNA from 1 species
AAUGAGAUAAGCCAACAACGACCUUGGUCCUAGCUCUUCGAGUUUAUCUUUUACCUAUGUGUUAGAGAAAAACACGUUAAGCUUGUGACAACUUAGUAAGUAUUUCAAGAAUUUAAACUUUUAAGAUUUAGAAUUGUCGAAAAUUAUCAUAUAUAUAAUAUUAUUGUGUGUAUAGGAACCAAACAUGAGUGAUCAAUUACUAAAACUUACAUUACUUACCACAUUGCUUUAAUAAUUUCUCUUAUCAUAUUUUUCCUUAAUAGCCCAUUGUAGACUAAAUAGAACAUUUCAGAUAUACAUAACAUAUAUAGAUGUGCACCAAAGUGCAUUAUCAUAACAGAACAACACCAAUGGGC